rnacentral:tRNA from 1 species
GCUGGAAUAGCUCAGUUGGUAGAGCAGAGGACUGAAAAUCCUCGUGU